UACGGGGGGGGCAAGCGUUGUUCGGAAUUACUGGGCGUAAAGGGCUCGUAGGCGGCCAACUAAGUCAGACGUGAAAUCCCUCGGCUUAACCGGGGAACUGCGUCUGAUACUGGAUGGCUUGAGUUUGGGAGAGGGAUGCGGAAUUCCAGGUGUAGCGGUGAAAUGCGUAGAUAUCUGGAGGAACACCGGUGGCGAAGGCGGCAUCCUGGACCAACACUGACGCUGAGACGCGGAAAGCGUGGGGAGCAAACAGGGAUUAAGAAACC
rnacentral:rRNA from 1 species